rnacentral:lncRNA from 1 species
AUGGGUGCCCGAACCCCAAAGGCCUUCCAUACACAUUUACACGCGCGAACGAAUGACUUCCAGGCAGGGAGAAAAGUUGGAGCAAAUCCGGGGCAGCCGUUCCCUCCCGAGGCCUGGAGCUGCGGGGGGCGGCGGGUGCAGACCUGCACCGGCUGCGGGGGGCGGGGGGGCUGCCGCGGGGCCCAGGGAACCCGGCCGACCAGGGGGUCGGGGAACUCGGAAAGAGCAGAGCGCGUCUUUAAACGCAAAGUGGGGGCUCGUUUCGGGGGAUCCCAAAGGACGCACGGCCCCGGGGGCCGGGCUUUGUCCCCGGAGGAGCCGCGCACCCGGCCGCGCGCGCCGCACGCCCCGGCCCGGCUGGACCCCCGCCCACGGAGGCCCGGGCAGCCGGGGGGGGGCGGGGCGGGGGGCGGCGAGGCCAGGGGGCGGCCCAGGUCGCGUAGGCGCCUACAUCCGCUCGGUCUUCCAUCCCGCCUGGGCCUCGGGGGGCGCCCUGGCCGAGCCGCGCCUUUCGGAGCGCGGGGCCGGAGAGCCGGGCGCGGGGAGGGGGAGGGCCCCGGGGGGCGGGGAGGGGGCCCCCGCGGUGCUCACAAAGAAGCGCGUCUUCCCGGGGCGCGCGGGAGCCCCGCCAGGCUUCCCAGCUCCCGGCCGCCUGACCCCGGAGUGGCCCGGGAUUUAUUUAUCUUGGCGGAGGAAGGCGGGGCCUCUGUCUGGGAGACGAAAAUCUUUCCAGGAAGUUUGUACCUAUUAAUACUUGAGUUCCUGGCAGCUGCUGGCAGCGCGGGGGGCGGGGGGCCAGCCUGCCCGGUCCGUGGGAGACAGGGCCGCGGACGCGCGUGGGGCGCGGGCUCUCGGGGGCGGCGCGCCCGAGGGGGGAGGGGACCGGGGCCGCGACGGCGGCGGAGGGGGCGGGCAGGGCCCCUGGGCCACGGCCGUGGGCGCCGAGCGGGCGGGGCGCAGGAGCGGCGGCCCCGGGAGCCCCGGCUGGGAAGGACGGCCCGCGUUCCCGGGGCGCUGGCGGCCGUGAGGCCCGGAGCCCCGACGAGGUCCGGAGCUCGUCGUCACCUCGGUGCGGCCCCCGACCCGAGCGCGCUGCGCAGCCUCCUGGCAAGCUUCUCGUUAGCGCCAAUCUGCAGAAGGUAA